rnacentral:misc_RNA from 1 species
UACUAGCCAGUUGGCUCAGGUGAAGGC